CGGACAUUUCAUCCGCUAUAUUGACAACUGUCAGUUAAACCAUCCCCAAGGUUUAUGUUUGGACUCCAAAGACAACCUCGUUUUAACCGAAUGGACAACAGGAAAGCUGAAAAAGAUUCAAUAUUUAAUCUAAACAAUUAAUGUGUGAAUGCACUGAUGAACUGUGAAUACAUUCAAGAGCAUUUAAAAUGGUAAAAGAAAAUAUCCCGAAAGUAUGCAUCUUAAAAGUUUAUAGGUAAUAUUUUGACAAUAGCAAAAUGAAGAAUUUAUUGUUUUUGACGUAUUUUACCAAAAAUGCAUACAUUUUUAUUUUUUGGCAUUUAAAAGUACUCUCCAUUGUCUGCAAAUGUUAUGUAAUAUGCAUUUGUUUUACAUACAUUGUAAAUCUGAUAGAGCUUUUUUAUCUUUAGAAUUAAUAAAAUUUAGAAUGAAAGAUAAGGUAGGAGCAAAAUGCUCUCCUUUUAACAUAAACUGAAACACUUGGUUCCUAGCUCUGGUUAGUAUUUUUUAAUGGAGUUAUACCAUUUACUAUCUAUGUUGUCUGUUGUUUAACAGUCUAUAUAAUACCAUAUCUAUAUCGAUAUAUGUCUAAAUUGUUUUGAAGAUCAAAAAAUGCAAUCCAUGUGAAGAUUAAAAUUUUGCGCACAACACUUUAUCAUAUAUAUAUGUCCUGAUAUAAUGUUUAAUUAUUUGUUUCCUCAUUACAAUAAUCAUAAUAUCCUUCUUCCAUAUGACUUUCUUUAAUACAUUUAUCGGCCUUUGAAUUAUGUUGAUGGGUUUUUUAACAUUCAUUGCUUGUUUCUCUGUUAUAUAAAUUCUUAAAAUUCGCUAACCAUUAUUCCAAACCCUCCUUUUUUUGUUAGAAUAUUUAUAAUCAUUGUUGAUUAAUAACCUUAUGGGUAUACUGUGAUUUUUUUUUUGCUUUGUUUUUUGUUCCAAAAGUCUUUGAAGUUUCAAGAGUAUGAAUAUCAUUAGCAACAAUUUUUUUUUUGCCACGGUCAGUGCGUAUAAGAGAUUUACUAGUAUGCAAGAUAUCUCUCGCUUUGAUGUAUUCUCGUCUUUAAAUAAUAUUUGACUAGCUGUUUCAUUAGAAAUAUGUUUGUAAUCUUUAAAAAUAAGGAACUGU
rnacentral:misc_RNA from 1 species